UACGUAGGGCGCAAGCGUUGUCCGGAAUUAUUGGGCGUAAAGAGCUCGUAGGCGGUCUGUCGCGUCUGCUGUGAAACUCAGGGCUUAACCCUGAGCUUGCAGUGGGUACGGGCAGACUAGAGUGCGGUAGGGGAGACUGGAAUUCCUGGUGUAGCGGUGAAAUGCGCAGAUAUCAGGAGGAACACCGGUGGCGAAGGCGGUCUCUGGGCCGUAACUGACGCUGAGGAGCGAAAGCAUGGGAGCGAACAGG
rnacentral:rRNA from 1 species